rnacentral:rRNA from 1 species
AUUGAACGCUGGCGGCAUGCCUAACACAUGCAAGUCGAACGAGACCUUCGGGUCUAGUGGCGCACGGGUGCGUAACGCGUGGGAAUCUGCCCUUGGGUUCGGAAUAACAGUUAGAAAUGACUGCUAAUACCGAAUGAUGUCGUAAGACCAAAGAUUUAUCGCCCAGGGAUGAGCCCGCGUAGGAUUAGCUAGUUGGUGUGGUAAAGGCGCACCAAGGCGACGAUCCUAGUCUGGUCUGAGAGGAUGAUCAGCCACACUGGGACUGAGACACGGCCCAGACUCCUACGGGAGGCAGCAGUGGGGAAUAUUGGACAAUGGGCGAAAGCCUGAUCCAGCAAUGCCGCGUGAGUGAUGAAGG